rnacentral:rRNA from 1 species
GACGAACGCUGGCGGCGUGCUUAACACAUGCAAGUCGAACGGAAAGGCCCUGCUUGCAGGGUACUCGAGUGGCGAACGGGUGAGUAACACGUGGGUGAUCUGCCCUGCACUUCGGGAUAAGCCUGGGAAACUGGGUCUAAUACCGGAUAGGAGCCAUUUUUAGUGUGAUGGUUGGAAAGUUUUUUCGGUGUAGGAUGAGCUCGCGGCCUAUCAGCUUGUUGGUGGGGUAAUGGCCUACCAAGGCGGCGACGGGUAGCCGGCCUGAGAGGGUGGACGGCCACAUUGGGACUGAGAUACGGACCAGACUCCUACGGGAGGCAGCAGUGGGGAAUAUUGCACAAUGGGCGCAAGCCUGAUGCAGCGACGCCGCGGGGGGGAUGACGGCCUUCGGGUUGUAAACUCAUUUCGCUAGGGACGAAGCUUUUUGUGACGGUACCUAGAGAAGAAGCACCGGCUAACUACGUG